rnacentral:ncRNA from 2 species
CUGUAUAUCGGCGAUGGGGUUCGCCAUACAUACCGUACAUCGGUUAUGACUCCUACCACAUC